GAGCGUCCGCCCGGGAUCCCGGGCCGGGCCGGAGGGGGAAGAAAAAGAGAGUGGGGGCCGCUAGCUUCUCCCGCCGCGGCGGGGGAGAGGGAGACACCCUGCCUCCCCUGCCACCCGCCUCGCAGGGCCGACCGAAAGACCUUCGCCUCAGGGCGCAAUAACGGCCCCCGCCCGCGCGGGCACCGCCGGCCUCGCGCCCCUCCGCGGGCCCUGGGGGGGCAGCGGGUGAGGAGGGGGCGCGCGAGGUGUCCCCGGGCUGAGGGAAGGGGCGGGCAGGAUGGGUCCGGCCCGGCGGGGUCCCUCCGGUGAGAGGUGCGGCUGUGCUGAGGUCGGUUUUAAUGUCACAAACAUCCUAAAUCUUUAGCGUGGUAUCUAUCGGUUUCAAAAAGGAAGCUUUAAAUAAUACCAGCUUCGGGAAAGAAAAGAAAGAAUUCUACAAGCGGACCUGGAGCCUGGGUAUUUGACCAAGACUGUCGGAAGUGUUUUUCUACUGAUGGCAAUAGGAACUGGACUGGGCGUCGUAUCACCGGAUCACAGAAAAUGUCUUCCACAGGAAGCCCUCCUGAACAAAAAACCUUUUCUUUGGGAGUUUAAGAGAAACAAAUGCCAGACUGGACACGAGCAGUACAGACAUUUAACACACAACAGCCGGGAACGUGGUGACCAUUUGCUGGCACAUGAUCAUAGCUGAGAAAUUCUGAAAAACUAUCAAGACCCAGUUCAUUUUUUACAGUAUUUUCUAACAGAAGUAAAAAUAGCCUUUUCUUGAGGGAAAGAGCACACUUGGGUUUGGAAUCCAAAUGUCUGAAAUUUGCUUUAAUUUGUAUCUUACAAAUAAACAUUAAUUCACUGAUUAAGUAAUUGUUAUCACAUCACUUUAUACCUCAUAACAUAGUUUUUGCUUUGGUGACUUGUAUAAACUAAACUUUGGAGUAGAAAAAAAAUAGCUUGUCUUUUUGCAUUUUGGG